AUGAGGAUGGAGCAUGACUUCCAUAUGGCCGAAGGAGAAGACGACAACAGCUACGCCAAGAACUCAAGGCUUCAGGAAAAUGCCUUGGUUGAGACUAAGCCGGCUCUCCAGGAGGCCGUGACACAAGUGUACGCGGCUCUCCCCCAUCCAACAAUGACCAUUGUUGACCUGGGCUGCUCUUCAGGAAAUGACUUCAACCGCGUCUUUCGAUCGGUUCAACGAUUCAAGAACUCGAUUGGUGGUAUGUGUCGUCGCAAGGGAGAGGAGAUACCUGCUUUCUUCAUCGCCGGGUUGCCGAGCUCCUACUACAGGAGGCUUCUGCCUCGCAGCAGUGUUCACCUCUUUCACUCGUCGUAUUGCCUGCAUUGGCGCUCUCGGCUUCCCCAUGGAUUAGAGGGCAAGAAAAGACCAUAUCUCAACAAAGGAAACAUCUACAUUGCGAUGACUACCCCACCAUCGGUGGUAAAAAUGUACCAAGAGGAGUUUGAGAAGGACAUGUUGUUGCUCCUCCGUCUGCGACAUGAAGAACUAGUUGCAGGCGGACAGAUGAUGCUCACAUUUCUAGGGAGGAAACAUGGUGAUGCCUACAGCGGAGGUCUCUGCCGUCUACUCGGGCUACUUUCACGGUCUGUGCAAUCACUUGUUGACGAGGGCCUCGUGGAGAAGGAAAAGCUCGACUCCUUUAAUCUACCUUUGUACGGCCCAUCGAUGGAAGAAGUCAAAGCAAUCGUCGAUCAAAGCCAGCAGUUUCGCAUGAAUCAUAUCAAGCUGUUCGAGACCAACUGGGAUCCUUACGACGAUUCGGAAGGCAAUGAUGUGCGUGACAGUGUCCAAAGUGGCAUAAAUGUCUCCAAGACCUUGAGGGCAGUGAUGGAGCCCCUGUUUGCAAGCCAUUUCGGCGAAUCCGUCCUCGACGAGCUCUUCAAGAAAUUUGCAUACAACGUCGAGGUGCACCUAAAGAAGGAGAAGACCAAGUACUCCGUCAUUACUCUGUCGUUAACAAGAAUAUGA
rnacentral:rRNA from 1 species